GGGGUAAGUAACAUUCGCUGCCUCCGUAGGCAAUGAUGAGCUUUGAGGAGAGUGGUAAUUUUAAAAAGGAAAUGUCUUCUCAUCAGCGCGUCCUUUGUUCCAAAUGUAUUCUGAAGGGAAAUCAGGAAAUGAAAGAAAGGAACAUUGCGUUUUGGUUCUGACUUUAAGGAAGGAGACGUGCCCACCGAUAGUUAUUAAUCAUCAGUAAUGUACUUAGAAACAUACGUGUCUUUAAACUGCUCUUCAAAGUUGGCACGGGGACCGAUGAACUGCGCUCCCUAGAAAACGGGAAGUUCAGAUCCAGACUUUCCCUUCCUUCGUCUUUCAAUACAGUGAUACCUUUUCGAGUCCUGAAGAAGUCUACCGCAAGCAGCGAGCAGAUAGUAUAGUACUCUUGGCCACUUUGGGCUAGAGAAUCACUUUGGUUUUUCCAGCCUCUACUGCCUUCAUUUCUGACCUGUGAUUUCACCAGAUGGCGAACAACAUAACUGUAUUUGUGGGGAAUACAAAGAUUUUGUGAAAAAAUGGCCUUGAAAAAAGAUGUCAGGAUGUUCUUGCAGCUUCGCAGAUGGCCAGAGGCAGGCUGGAAUAUGUAUGUGUGUAGUGCCCCAGUAUCCAUCAGCUUCUGAAAUACAAGUGAAAGCAGUAUUUCUCUUGCUGUUUUACAUCCCAGACUUGGUACGAGCAAGCACAGAUGUGUCUUUUGUGCAGGAGAGGGAAGGAAGAGAGAGCCAAAUGAAAAAUCCUGAAUGACAACAUCUCCAAGUAUCACAGCAGUACCUUCUAAAGCUGGAAGAUAAAGCUGAUGAGGUGGUUACCAUGGCUACAGAAGCGGCAUAUUUGAAUGAAAAUUGAUUUUAAGCUUUUAAAUGCUAAUUGCAUCUGUGAACAGGUGACAUUUGAAAUAUCUUUUUCUCCCUCCUCCCUCCCCCCAUAUGUUGCAGAGUAUAAUGAGUGAAAGAAGAGGGUGACAAAGGUGACAACACACUGUUAAAUUAGAACACUGAUACAGUCUUCAACACUAAAGUAUGUCACACCAUUUGCUUGUGUAGUAGUACAAGUAAUAAGUGAACACAUAUAUAGAUCACAGUGUCUGAGGAGCAGAAACUGUCUAGAACCCAAUUAAUAUAUUUUUCAUGGUAUUGUGAAAAAUUAAACAGCUUUAUUUAAAUUAAUCACCAGAACAAUUGUUUCUGGUAGCUCAUAAUAAAGAGGCUAUUAAAACUUACCAUUCAGAAACUGCUAUAAAUUCUCAGUGAUGAGGAAGCUUUGCAAAUGCCUGGAAUUAGAAGCAUUUCUUAUUUCACUCUGUACACUGGGAAAUAAAGUUGAACUUCUACACAGUAGUAGACUCAGACUAGGGAACCAAGAUGCUGUGUAGACUGGUGUUACUGUGCAACUGCUGCUAAUUGCUGUCACACCACUGUCUGACCACACUCAGGCUGUAGUUGCAGAAGACAUAGAAGGUGUAAUUUACCUCACUGUAAGCAUAGUUUUAAUAUGAUCUGAAAGCUCUUUAACUUGCAGUGGGUUACAUUCCACUUGUUAGCGCUUGCUUUUCGAAACACUCUUGAUAUGAUUACUGUUUAAGACAUGAUCAGUUGUAAUGCAGAUUUAUAUUUUGUUAAAUUAAUUGUAAAAUUGUAAAUAAAAAUUGUAAAUCUGUGAGGGGUUUCAGAUUAUUUUAGUUUUUUGUUUGUUUGUUUGUUUUUCAUUUUUGUUUUUUAAUAUGCAGUGUGAGAAAUCUGGUGGUUUUGGCUGUG
ensembl:lncRNA